UCUCUGAUCACCCUAGCCUUUUUAUGUCAUACACUCAUUUUGGCCCCUCCUAAUAUCUGGUUCAUGCUCCCCCACAGCUUGGAUUGUGAAGACUUGCUUAGUCCAUCCUUUUGCUUUGCUUACUAAUGAUGCCCCAAGAUGCAAAAUACUAAUUAUUUUUCUUUAUGUGUGUGCUACAUUUUAGAUGCAAUUGCUGAUCAACAUCUUUGGCUUCACGGUUAUUCAUGGAAACUGGAUGUGGUGAGUGUCGUCAAAAUUUUAUCCAUUUUUCAUUUUCUUCACAUUUUUAGUAAAAUGACUAUUCAGACAAGCUUAAAAAAUAGAAAUUGGUUUCAUAACAUUUGGAUUCUAGAGGCUUGUCAUGCACUGCAAGUUCUACAUUUGAUCCAUUUGAACCAAUGCAUGAGCUCAGUCAAAUUCACAGCAAUGUCCUUUAAACUACAGGCAAUGAAACAAAAGGAGUUGCACUGGUUGGGACUUGGGAGGCAUGGAUAGUUCAAGUACUAUCUGGGAUACUACUUACAUUGCUAAUAAGUUAACGUCUGGUCCUAAUACUAGGAUUCCCAGCUAUCUUAGUUUCAAGCCCUGUAUGCUUAUUUGAUUGAAGGUGGAAGUGGGACUCCUUUUGGUGCUUAAGUAAUAACUCAAUGAUAGCGGGAACUGGUUGAAUUAUCAAUAUACAUUUGGGCAUAGAGCAUGACGAUGUAUGAAACUUCUGAAGACUUUCAG
rnacentral:lncRNA from 1 species